CUCGCGGGAGAGUGCAGGAUGCCAAUUGGUAGUCCUGACGCCGAAGGAGCAACCGCCCCGGAAACUCUCAGGCAGCCGGACCGCGAGAC
rnacentral:ncRNA from 1 species